rnacentral:rRNA from 1 species
CCCGCUGAACUUAAGCAUAUCAAUAAGCGGAGGAAAAGAAACUAACCAGGAUUCCCCUAGUAACUGCGAGUGAAGCGGGAAGAGCUCAAAUUUGUAAUCUGGCGGUGUACAGGCGAUCGGAGUUGUAUUCUGAAGAAGCGUUUUCCGCGCGGGUGCCGUGUACAAGUCUCUUGGAGCAGGGCGUCAUAGAGGGUGAGAAUGCGGUCUAUUACACGGACACCCGGGGUCUAUGAGAUGUGCUCUUGAAGUGUCGAGUUGUUUGGGAAAGCAGCUCAAAUCGGGCUGGUAAAUUCCAUCUAUAGCUAGAUAUGGGAGAUAGACCGAUAGCGUACAAGUCCUGUGAGGGAAAGAUGAAAAGCGCUUUGAAUAGAGAGUUAGUCAGUAGGUGAAAUUGUGGAAAGGGAAACGCUAGAAGUCAGUCGCGUCUUGCGAGACUGAUAUUAGGGUUCGCGCGGAGGUGCAUUUGCUCGGGCUUAGACGUGCCCAGCGUCGUAUUUCGCUGUGUCGUACACAAGGAGGGGCGGAAAGUGGCUCCUCUUUCGGGGGUGUGUAAUAGCCCCUCGUCGGACGCAACGCGCAGUGAUCGAGGAUCGCAGCACGCCCCACCUUGGAGGCCGGGGUUGGCUCACGGUACCAUGCUUAGGACGCUGGCGUAAUGGCUUUGAGCGACCCGUCUUGAAACACGG